AUCACAACACAAUUUAUGAAUAAUUCAAACAAAUAAAUUACGCUCGAUGAAAAGAGUAAAAGGACCGACGAAAGGAACGAAGAGAGUAACAAAAACCUAUUUCUGUGAAUAAAUAUAUCGAUCAGAUACAUCGAUCUUCAUAAAUACACUAAAACUAAGGCCAUUUAUUCUGUACUUAAUUAUUUUAAGAUUUUAAGAUUUUGUUAAAAGGUUAAGAUUUUGUUUUAGCGUUUUCAGGCCGCGCCAUCUAUUCAGUGAUUUGUCAGUAAGUAAUAGAUGUCGCCAAACGAUCAAAAUAGUUUUUACCUGGUACGUACGUAUUAUUUUACAGACAGGAUCGUUUACCGAGAUCUUGUGGUUAAUGCCGCGCCGUUAUUGAAUGUUAUAAAUUGUAUAAAAUCGCUAUAAUUGAAAGGUGUAGAAUAUAAUCUAUGUAGAUUUUAAUAUAACCUAUUGUAGAAAUGGGAACGUUAAACUUUAUGAUAAAGUUUAAAUUCUAUUUGUACACAAUCGACAACUUCUUCUAAAUGAAUUGGAAUAAGCUGGUUGCACGGAAAGGAAGAAGUUUACGUGUACGAUAUUGCAUCGGAAUCCGAGUAGGCAAUGAUUUGAAAAGUUUCGAUAAAAGUAGACGGAGAGGAAAACGACGCCGGAUCGAUUGUACAAUCGUGUGUGAUUUCCGUUCAAAGCCGUCCAAAGCAAUCAAUGGAACACGUCGAUGGCGAAUACAGAGAGUCAACUCUACUUCGUUGUUCUUGCUAGAAGAAAAUCUAAUAUUUCGUUCUCAUGCUUGUCUGUCGUAAACUAUGUGCGACCAUACACAAUUUAUAGACAUUGGUAAAACAAUAGUUGAUAUUAAUUAGUCUAAAUGGUGAAACAAUCGGAAGCGGAUGAAAAUUGAGUCUGUAUAGACAUCCGAGUUCAGUGAUCCUAAAUGCAUCUGUUCCAUAUUGGGACUUUAGAACGAAAUAAAUGUGUAUUUUAGCUACGUUCUAAAGUGCAUAUAGUCCUUAUGGAGAUUUUAACUGUCAGCCGUUUAUCGCAGUUAAACGUGGAAUUACAAAGUUCCAUAAGAAUUAAAGUUUGUUUCCAACUAUGUUCUAAAAGUUUAUAUAAAUUUUACCACGUGUCAAUCAUCCGUUACUGACACACAUGGAACAAGAGCGAUACAGGUGUUCAAAUACUUGUGUACCAUAGAGUAUAUACCUCACUAGAGACGAAAGGAUUAAGGAAGUCCGCUUUGCUGUGUUUGCUAUAUAUAUAAUUCCGACGAAAAGGUAGAGUAGCAGAUUUCACAGCAGUUGGAAUUGUGGCAAAUAUUUCCGUAAUUUGCUUUUCGGAUUACCCCUUCCGAU